CCCUAUGGGGCGCAGCAGGCGCGAAACCUCUGCAAUAGGCGAAAGCCUGACAGGGUUACUCUGAGUGAUUUCCGCUAAGGGGAUCUUUUGGCACCUCUAAAAAUGGUGCAGAAUAAGGGGUGGGCAAGUCUGGUGUCAGCCGCCGCGGUAAUACCAGCACCCCGAGUGGUCGGGACGAUUAUUGGGCCUAAAGCAUCCGUAGCCGGUUCUGCAAGUCCUCCGUUAAAUCCAGCCGCUCAACGGAUGGGCCGCGGAGGAUACUAUAGGACUAGGAGGCGGGAGAGGCAAGCGGUACUCAGUGGGUAGGGGUAAAAUCCUUUGAUCCAUUGAAGACCACCAGUGGCGAAGGCGGCUUGCCAGAACGCGCUCGACGGUGAGGGAUGAAAGCUGGGGGAGCAAACCGGAUUAGAUACCCGGGUAGUCCCAGCUGUAAACGAUGCAGACUCGGUGAUGGGCUAGCCUUGUGCCAGCCCAGUGCCGCAGGGAAGCCGUUAAGUCUGCCGCCUGGGGAGUACGGUCGCAAGACUGAAACUUAA
rnacentral:rRNA from 1 species